rnacentral:piRNA from 1 species
UCAUGUUAACAAGUUACAUCCUUUUCAGGCU